rnacentral:ncRNA from 1 species
UAGAUAGAGGCGCGGUACUCAUCAGUACCCUCCGGCAAGGUCGUGCAGCCGCCGGGCGGGAAAGGGAUCACCGCCGAAGUUGGAACCGAUUGCCCGGUUGGUUCCUGCUGGGCCGUCAGAGAACAUCUGCCGGACUGUCACAAGAACUUUGUGAAGCGCUAUCA